rnacentral:lncRNA from 1 species
UCCACUGAUGGAGAACAAGGAAGAUGGAAGACUACCAUCAUCUACCAAUGGAGGAGGAGCAGGAGAAAAAUGGGGGAGCACCAGCAUCCAAAAGUAUCCCACAAUCAGCCACGGGAGGAGAUAUCAGCAGAGGAAAGAAAGACUAACAACCAAAACAAUGUAAGUAAAACCUUUUAUUUACACAGACAGACACUGAUCACAUGUUUAAUGUAUAAAUAGACGUCACAUUUUACUAACGCCUGUAAAAUUUCGGAGAGGAACGCCAACAUCCACUGAUGGAGGAGGAGAAGAAAGAUGGAAGAGUACAUCAUCUACCAAUGGAGGAGCAGGAGUCAAAAUGGUGGAGCACCAGCAUCCAAAAGUGUCCCACAAUCAGCCCCAGGAGGAGAUAUCAGCAGAGGAAAGAAAGACUAUUAACUAAAACAAUAAUCCACUGAUGGAGAACAAGGAAGAUGGAAGACUACCAUCAUCUACCAAUGGAGGAGGAGGAGGAGAAAAAUGCGGGAGCACCAGCAUCCAAAAGUGUCCCAUAAUCAGCCACAGGAGGAGAUAUCAGCAGAGGAAAGAAAGACUAAUAACCAAAACAAUGUAAGCAAAACCUCUCAUUUACACAGAAAGACACUCACAUGUUUAAUGUAUAAAUAGACGUCACGUUUUACUAACGCCUGUAAAAUUUCGGAGAGGAACGCCAACAUCCACUGAUGGAGGAGAAGAAAGAUGGAGGACGGGAGUGCCAGCAUCUACCAAUGGAGGAGAAGAAAUACUUUUAUUAACCAAAACAAUGUAAGUAAAACCUCUCGUUUACACAGAAAGACACUGGACACGUUUAUUGUAAAAAUUUACUUUCUAAUAAUACCUGUAAAAUGUUCGACUUGACCACCAGAAUCCACUGAUGAGAACAAGGAAGAUGGAAGACUACCAUCAUCUACCAAUAGACGAGCAGGAGAAAAAUGGGGGAGCACCAGCAUCCAAGUGUCCCACAAUCAGCCACAGGAGGAGAUAUCAGCAGAGGAAAGAAAGACUAACAACCAAAACAAUGUAAGCAAAACCUCUCAUUUACAAAGAAAGACACUGAUCACAUGUUUAAUGUAUAAAUAGACGUCACGUUUUACUAACACCUGUAAUAUUUUGGAGAGGAACGCCAACAUCCACUGAUGGAGGAGGAGAAGAAAGAUGGAGGGAGUACAUCAUCGACCAAUGGAGGAGCAGGAGAAAAAUGGGGGAGCACCAGCAUCCAAAAGUGUCCCACAAUCAGCCCUAGGAGGAGACGCCAGCAGAGGAAAGAAACAAUAUUAACCAAAACAAUGUAAGUAAAACCUGUCAUUUACACAGAAAGACACUGGACACGUUUAUUGUAAAAAUGCUGCCAUUGGUAAAAAAAAAAAAGAGAAAUAGAUG